AUUUAUAUAGUUUAUUAAUUAAAAACAUUACAUUUUCACUGUAAAAAUAAAAUAUAUUAUAAUUUUUAUAAAUA
rnacentral:tRNA from 1 species